CUCCUUCCAUCCACACACCACCACAACACCAGGCUCCUUCCAUCCACACAUCACCACCAUACCAGGCUCCUUCCAUCCACACACCACCACAACACCAGGCUCCUUCCAUCCACACACCACCACCAUACCAGGCUCCUUCCAUUCAGGAACCACCACAGCAGGGUCGAAAGCGACAAAAAAGAGCCAAAAAAAAUAAAGAUUGCCCUCACAACCAGCUUGACAUGUUCCCAGUCACUGAAAUAAUAAAGACAAGGAUCAGAAAGGGGAGGACGGAACACCUUUAUGACUGGCAGCCCUGCACUCUAUG